CCUACGGGAGGCAGCAGUAGGGAAUUUUCCACAAUGGGCGAAAGCCUGAUGGAGCAAUACCGCGUGCAGGAUGAAGGCCUUCGGGUCGUAAACUGCUUUUAUGUGCGAAGAAUUUGACGGUAACACAUGAAUAAGGAUCGGCUAACUACGUGCCAGCAGCCGCGGUCAUACGUAGGAUCCAAGCGUUAUCCGGAAUUACUGGGCGUAAAGAGUUGCGUAGGUGGCAUUAUAAGUGGAGCGUGAAAGCGUGCGGCUCAACCGCAUUAUUGCGUUCCAAACUGUGAAGCUUGAGUAUGGGAGAGGUAGAUGGAAUUUCUAGUGUAGGAGUGAAAUCCGUAGAUAUUAGAAGGAACACCGAUGGCGUAGGCAGUCUACUGGCCCAUUACUGACACUAAGGCACGAAAGCGUGGGGAGCAAACGGGAUUAGAUACCCCGGUAGUCCACGCUGUAAACUAUGGAUGCUAGCUGUGACACACACUCGUACGUGUGUCGUAGACGAGUAACGUACGUACGACACUCCGCCGUCGGUAGGUACGGUCGCGAGAGUAACUACGAAGAAGUAGACGCGNGAGACGUGCGACGACGACGACGAGGGAGAGG
rnacentral:rRNA from 1 species